CAGAAAAUAGUUUAUUUUUUAAAAUUUUAAUUUUGGAGAUUAAAGAAAAUAUUUGGUUUUUUCUGA
rnacentral:tRNA from 2 species